UUCACCUUCACAGCGGAGUAUCUAUUCCCAUCAUUUGUCUCGGAUAUACCUUUUGUUAUGUGAAUUUUAGGACUGUUAUCUUAUUCAUAUUCUGAAUGAGACGCGAGAGAGCAUGAUCAUGAUCUUUGUGCGCACUGAACCUACUAGGCUCUUUGUUCUCAUGCUACGGAAUCUUGGUUUGAAAGCUAUGUCUAGCAGUGGCCAAAUGAGUCAGGUUUACUUUCUUUGACUUAAAUGUCACACACAUACAGUUAGAUGAUUAUUCCAUUUAGUUGGCUAAUCCUCUGUAAGGAUAAGUGGCUGGGUGCUUUGAACAGGUUUUCUUUAUUUCUUCCCUUUACUCUCUAAUUUUUUGGUCUAUUUUCUUUGUCAGGAUAAGAGGUUGGGUGCUUUGAACAGGUUCAGAGCGAAAGAUUGCAACAUCCUUAUUUGCACUGACGUGGCAUGUCGUGGUCCUGACAUUCAAGGAGUCCAUAUGGUCACCUACUAUGAUAUUCCAAUGAAUUCUAAGGAUUAUGUUCAUCGAUUGGGUAGGACUGCACGUGCAGGGAGAUCAGGAUACGCUGUAUCUUUGUGAAUAAAUAUGAAGGCCAAUGGUUUGUGAUAAUUGAGCAGCUACUUGGUAAUAGCAGCUUUCCUUCUUGCCCCCUCUUUACUUUUUGCUUGCCGAUUUGCAUGCAUAACUGGAGAUGGUCUCUUUCCAAAGCCUGCCUCUCAUUGACUAUGUUUUGCAAGCAAGAAAAUUGACCAGUGUAAGGUGGACCCAGAUGAAAUCAUGAUACUUAAAGAGCCCAUAUUAGAUGCAAAGAGAAUAGCUCUAACGAAAAUGAAUCGGGAUUGUCCAUACAUGACAGGAUGGCUUGGACAUGAUGACUCAGAAAAACAGACAAGAGCUCAAGCAUCCAAACCUUCGCUCAUCGUUUUUAGAAGCAGGAUGGAGGGUAUGUGCAGAAAUAUCAUCAAACAGGCUGCUGAUUGGGUUCAUUAAAGAGCCGAUUUUGGUAUCAAAUGUGAAGGUCAGUACCAUGAAGCCAACAAGAUAGGCCAUCUUUUCAAAAUUGGAAACACCGUGUUAAUUAAUUAAAGUGCUACUUAGCCUACCGUCAAUGUGCUGAUGUACUUAUGUCCUGACAAAGUUUUGGUUCUUCUGAGCAUGCUGUUGGUGAACUACUUUUACUACCUUUCCUUACUAUUAUGAUGUACCAGAA